rnacentral:rRNA from 1 species
GAGGGGAGUGAAAAAGAACCUGAAACCGUGUACGUACAAGCAGUGGGAGCCCCACCACUAAGCCAGUGGUGAACUCCACAUACGCAUCCUUUGCUGAGGAUACGGUUAACGGAGCGAAAGCGACGUUCAACCGCAAAAGAAGCAGAGGGGGCUUAGUGGUGGGGUGACUGCGUACCUUUUGUAUAAUGGGUCAGCGACUUAUAUUCUGUAGCAAGGUUAACCGCAUAGGGGAGCCGGAGGGAAACCGAGUCUUAAUUGGGCGUUAAGUUGCAGGGUAUAGACCCGAAACCCGGUGAUCUAGCCAUGGGCAGGUUGAAGGUUGGGUAACACUAACUGGAGGACCGAACCGACUAAUGUUGAAAAAUUAGCGGAUGACUUGUGGCUGGGGGUGAAAGGCCAAUCAAACCGGGAGAUAGCUGGUUCUCCCCGAAAGCUAUUUAGGUAGCGCCUCGUGAAUUCAUCUUCGGGGGUAGAGCACUGUUUCGGCUAGGGGGUCAUCCCGACUUACCAACCCGAUGCAAACUGCGAAUACCGAAGAAUGUUAUCACGGGAGACACACGGCGGGUGCUAACGUCCGUCGUGAAGAGGGAAACAACCCAGACCGCCAGCUAAGGUCCCAAAGUCAUGGUUAAGUGGGAAACGAUGUGGGAAGGCACAGACAGCCAGGAUGUUGGCUUAGAAGCAGCCAUCAUUUAAAGAAAGCGUAAUAGCUCACUGGUCGAGUCGGCCUGCGCGGAAGAUGUAACGGGGCUAAACCAUGCACCGAAGCUGCGGCAGCGACACUGUGUGUUGUUGGGUAGGGGAGCGUUCUGUAAGCCGUUGAAGGUGUCCUGUGAGGGAUGCUGGAGGUAUCAGAAGUGCGAAUGCUGACAUAAGUAACGAUAAUGCGGGUGAAAAACCCGCACGCCGGAAGACCAAGGGUUCCUGUCCAACGUUAAUCGGGGCAGGGUGAGUCGACCCCUAAGGCGAGGCCGAAAGGCGUAGUCGAUGGGAAACAGGUUAAUAUUCCUGUACUUGGUGUUACUGCGAAGGGGGGACGGAGAAGGCUAUGUUGGCCGGGCGACGGUUGUCCCGGUUUAAGCGUGUAGGUGUGUGUUCCAGGUAAAUCCGGUUCACUUUAACACUGAGGCGUGAUGACGAGGCACUACGGUGCUGAAGUGACAAAUGCCCUGCUUCCAGGAAAAGCCUCUAAGCAUCAGGUAACACGAAAUCGUACCCCAAACCGACACAGGUGGUCAGGUAGAGAAUACCAAGGCGCUUGAGAGAACUCGGGUGAAGGAACUAGGCAAAAUGGUGCCGUAACUUCGGGAGAAGGCACGCUGAUAUGUAGGUGAAGCGGUUUACCCGUGGAGCUGAAAUCAGUCGAAGAUACCAGCUGGCUGCAACUGUUUAUUAAAAACACAGCACUGUGCAAACACGAAAGUGGACGUAUACGGUGUGACGCCUGCCCGGUGCCGGAAGGUUAAUUGAUGGGGUUAUCCGUAAGGAGAAGCUCUUGAUCGAAGCCCCGGUAAACGGCGGCCGUAACUAUAACGGUCCUAAGGUAGCGAAAUUCCUUGUCGGGUAAGUUCCGACCUGCACGAAUGGCGUAAUGAUGGCCAGGCUGUCUCCACCCGAGACUCAGUGAAAUUGAACUCGCUGUGAAGAUGCAGUGUACCCGCGGCAAGACGGAAAGACCCCGUGAACCUUUACUAUAGCUUGACACUGAACACUGGUCCUUGAUGUGUAGGAUAGGUGGGAGGCUUUGAAGUGUGGACGCCAGUCUGCAUGGAGCCAUCCUUGAAAUACCACCCUUUAAUGGCUGGUGUUCUAACGUGGGCCCCUAAUCGGGGUUGCGGACAGUGUCUGGUGGGUAGUUUGACUGGGGCGGUCUCCUCCCAAAGAGUAACGGAGGAGCACGAAGGUUAGCUAAUCCUGGUCGGACAUCAGGAGGUUAGUGCAAAGGCAUAAGCUAGCUUGACUGCGAGAGUGACGGCUCGAGCAGGUGCGAAAGCAGGUCUUAGUGAUCCGGUGGUUCUGAAUGGAAGGGCCAUCGCUCAACGGAUAAAAGGUACUCCGGGGAUAACAGGCUGAUACCGCCCAAGAGUUCAUAUCGACGGCGGUGUUUGGCACCUCGAUGUCGGCUCAUCACAUCCUGGGGCUGAAGUAGGUCCCAAGGGUAUGGCUGUUCGCCAUUUAAAGUGGUACGCGAGCUGGGUUUAGAACGUCGUGAGACAGUUCGGUCCCUAUCUGCCGUGGGCGCUGGAGAAUUGAGGGGGGCUGCUCCUAGUACGAGAGGACCGGAGUGGACGCAUCACUGGUGUUCGGGUUGUCAUGCCAAUGGCACUGCCCGGUAGCUAAAUGCGGAAAAGAUAAGUGCUGAAAGCAUCUAAGCACGAAACUUGCCCCGAGAUGAGUUCUCCCUGAGACUAUAAGUCUCCUGAAGGAACGUUGAAGACGACGACGUUGAUAGGUCGGGUGUGUAAGCGUAGCGAUACGUUGAGCUAACCGGUACUAAUGAACCGUGAGGCUUAACCUUACAACGCCGAAG